rnacentral:rRNA from 1 species
CCUACGGGUGGCAGCAGUGGGGAAUAUUGCACAAUGGGGGAAACCCUGAUGCAGCAACGCCGCGUGAGUGAAAAAGUAUUUCGGUCUGUAAAGCUCUAUCAGCAGGGAAGAAGAUGACGCUACCUGAUUAAGACGCCCCGGCUAACUACGUGCUAGCAGCCUCGGUAAUACGUAGGGGGCAAGCGUUAUCCGGAUUUGCGGGGUGUAAAGGGAGCGCAGAGGGUAGUGCAGGUCUGGAGUGAAAGCCCGGGGUCCAACCCCGGUACUGCUCUGGAAACUGUGCGGCUGGAGUACGGGAGGGGCAGGCGGAAUGUGUGGUGUAGCGGUGAAAUGCGUAGAUAUUA